UCACUUCUCCUUCUCAAACGGAAAAUCUCCAUCAAAACCACUUUUCCUAAAAUCACUUUUCCUUAAAUCACCUUUCCUUUAUUAAUUUCUCCAAUCAAAAUCGCUACUUCUCCGUCAUUGUAAUCGAUGUUUCUCCUUGGUAAAUCAAAAUCAACGCUUCUCGAUCAAAAUCUCUGCUUCUUAUCGUUGAUUGAAAUUGCAGCUUCUCCUUCAUUGGUCAAAGCUUCUACUUCUCCUUCUUCGUUGGAAAUCACUGUUUUAACUUUCUCUUAGGAAUUCGUUGCUUCAACUUUCUAAUCAGUUACUUUACCAUUCCAAAUCGCUCACGCAUUUCUCAAAACCUAAUAGUUGAGAGAAGACUCAAGGCUGAAGUUGUAAUUCCUUUGAUUGCUACAAAGAAUACAAAGAACUUCAAUUACAUGGAAGCAACUCUCAUUUAAGAUCUCCAAGAAGGAGGAGGAGUUGAAACAUACAGUUUCGUUUAGAGAUGUGUAUGCUCGAGUUCAUAAGAAAAAAGAUGGAGAAUAUGUCUCUCAACGAUCGAAGUUAUUAAAAUUUAAAAAUUAAAUGUGUAAUGUUUAACAUGAAUGUAGCUUACAUAAUUAAUAUAUUCUUCGUAUGUGUUUUUUAGGAGACAUAUGACACGGCUAUAUUGGAAAAGUAUGAAGAAGACUCUUCCAAUCAUCCGAUGAUUGAUCCUAAAGUGUGGGUAUAAGUUUCUGGUUAGAAAAAGACAAGGCAUACAUUUAUGCAUUGUAGCUUAGAUGUUAGAAGAACUAUGUCUGCCCCAUUUGUUGAUGUCACUAGUCAUUCCAGAACCAUCGAGGAAGAUAUAAAAAAGUUGUGGAUAAGGCAAUGACCUCUUUUGUCCAAACACAUCUGGCACCGAUGUUGGAGCCAAUCCUUUCAUUGAUUCGAUCCAUGCCAAAAGCACCCAUGCAAAGUGAAGUAACUGAAAAAACUCAUGGAGAUAAAGGUGAAAGAAUGUUUUUCAAUUUAUUUCGGAAACCGGAGUUAAUAUGGAACCUGAGUUGUGAUUUCUGAAUUGGAAAUAAAAUAGAAUAUUAUUGUAAUGUAUAAUGUUUUAGUGUUGUUAAAUAUAUUAAAAAUUUGAUUUUAGAAUAUUGUUGUGAUGUCUAUUGUUUAAG